rnacentral:rRNA from 1 species
UACGUAGGGUGCGAGCGUUAAUCGGAAUUACUGGGCGUAAAGUGUGCGCAGGCGGCAGAGCAAGUCGAGUGUGAAAGCCCCGGGCUUAACUUGGGAAUUGCGCUUAAUACUGUUUUGGCUAGAGUACUGUAGAGGGAAGUGGAAAUUUCCGGUGUAGCGGUGAAAUGCGUAGAUAUCGGAAGGAACACCAGUGGCGAAAGGCGGCUUCCUGGCCUGUUUCUUGACGCUGAGGCGCGAAAGCUAGGGGGAGCAAACGGG